CACGUAGGGGGCGAGCGUUGUCCGGAAUUAUUGGGCGUAAAGAGCUUGUAGGCGGUUUGUCGCGUCUGCUGUGAAGAUCCGGGGCUCAACCCCGGACUUGCAGUGGGUACGGGCAGACUAGAGUGUGGUAGGGGAGACUGGAAUUCCUGGUGUAGCGGUGAAAUGCGUAGAGAUCGGGAGGAACACCAGUGGCGAAGGCGGGUAACUGGACUGCAACUGACGCUGAGGCGCGAAAGUGUGGGGAGCAAACAGGAUUAGAUACCCCCGUAGUCCCUGA
rnacentral:rRNA from 1 species